rnacentral:rRNA from 1 species
AGAGUUUGAUCAUGGCUCAGGAUGAACGCUGGCGGCGUGCCUAUACAUGCAAGUCGAGCGAACCACUUCGGUGGUGAGCGGCGAACGGGUCGAGUAACACGUAGGUGAUCUGCCCAUCAGACGGGGACAACGAUUGGAACGAUCGCUAAUACCGGAUAGGACGAAAGUUUAAAAGGUUGCUUCUGGCACCGCUGAUGGAUGAGCCUGCGGCGCAUUAGCUAGUUGGUAGGGUAAAGGCCUACCAAGGCGACGAUGCGUAGCCGACCUGAGAGGGGUUGAACGGCCACACUGGGACUGAGACACGGCCCAGACUCCUACGGGAGGCAGCAGUAGGGAAUCUUCGGCAAUGGGCGAAAGCCUGACCGAGCAACGCCGCGUGAAUGAUGAAGGCCUUCGGGUUGUAAAAUUCUGUUAUAAGGGAAGAACGACUUUAGUAGGAAAUGGCUAGAGUGUGACGGUACCUUAUGAGAAAGCCACGGCUAACUACGUG